GGGCACUUGGUGUAGAUGGUUAUCACGCUCGCUUAGCACUUCAUUUGCGAGAGGGGACCGGUUCAAUUCCGGUAGUGUCCA
rnacentral:tRNA from 1 species